AAUGGGCGAAAGCCUGAACCAGCCAUGCCGCGUGUAUGAAGAAGGCCCUCGGGUCGUAAAGUACUUUUAUGCAGGAAGAAGCAGUUGUGCGCAACUGUCUGACGGUACUGCACGAAUAAGCACCGGCUAACUCCGUGCCAGCAGCCGCGGUAAUACGGAGGGUGCGAGCGUUGUCCGGAUUUAUUGGGUUUAAAGGGUGCGUGGGUGGUUUAUUAAGUCAGUGGUGAAAGGCAUCGGCUCAACCUGUGAGCUGCCAUUGAUACUGGUAAACUUGAGUACUGUAGGGGUAGGCGGAAUUUGUGGUGUAGCGGUGAAAUGCAUAGAUACCACAAGGAACACCGGCGGCGAAGGCGGCCUACUGGGCAGUUACUGACACUGAUGCACGAAAGCGUGGGGAGCGAACAGGAUU
rnacentral:rRNA from 1 species